rnacentral:rRNA from 1 species
CCCAGACUCCUACGGGAGGCAGCAGUGGGGAAUAUUGCGCAAUGGGCGAAAGCCUGACGCAGCGACGCCGCGUGAGGGAUGAAGGUCUUCGGAUCGUAAACCUCUGUCAGCAGGGAAGAAAAUGACGGUACCUGACUAAGAAGCCCCGGCUAACUACGUGCCAGCAGCCGCGGUAAUACGUAGGGGGCAAGCGUUAUCCGGAUUUACUGGGUGUAAAGGGAGCGUAGACGGCUGCGCAAGUCAGAAGUGAAAGCCCGGGGCUCAACCGCGGGACUGCUUUUGAAACUGUGUAGCUAGAGUGCAGGAGAGGUAAGUGGAAUUCCUAGUGUAGCGGUGAAAUGCGUAGAUAUUAGGAGGAACACCGGCGGCGAAGGCGGCCUACUGGACUGUAACUGACGUUGAGGCUCGAAAGCGUGGGGAGCAAACAGGAUUAGAUACCCUGGUA